rnacentral:tRNA from 2 species
GAUGCCGUGGCCGGUGGCAGCGAUCUCGGCGAUCAGGCCGUUGAGGCCGGGCGGCAAGUCGGGGCAGGCCGCGUUCAGGGGCGCGGCGGCGGGC